rnacentral:rRNA from 1 species
UUAAGUGACUAAGCGUACAGGGCGGAUGCCUUGGCAAUCAGAGGCGAAGAAGGACGUGCUAAUCUGCGAAAAGCUUGGAUGAGUCGAUAAGAGGCGUUUAAUCCAAGAUGUCCGAAUGGGGAAACCCGAUGGAUGAAGAAUCCAUCAUUUCAUUGUGAAUACAUAGCAAUGAAAGGCGAACCGGGAGAACUGAAACAUCUAAGUACCCCGAGGAAAAGAAAUCAACCGAGAUUCUGUGAGUAGCGGCGAGCGAAAGCGGAAGAGCCAGUAAGUUUUAGCUAGUGUAUUAGAGGAAUUGGCUGGGAAGCCAAAUCAAAGAGGGUGAUAAUCCCGUACUCGAAAAUACGAUAGUGGAACUAAGCUUACGAUAAGUAGGGCGGGACACGAGAAAUCCUGUUUGAAGAUGGGGGGACCAUCCUCCAAGGCUAAAUACUCCUGAUUGACCGAUAGUGAACCAGUACUGUGAAGGAAAGGCGAAAAGAACCCCGGUGAGGGGAGUGAAAUAGAACCUGAAACCCUGUACGUACAAGCAGUAGGAGCGAGGGCAACCUUGUGACUGCGUACCUUUUGUAUAAUGGGUCAGCGACUUAUAUUUUGUAGCGAGGUUAACUGAAUAAGGGAGCCGAAGGGAAACCGAGUCUUAACUGGGCGUUGAGUUGCAAGGUAUAGACCCGAAACCCGGUGAUCUAGCCAUGGGCAGGUUGAAGGUUGGGUAACACUAACUGGAGGACCGAACCGACUAAUGUUGAAAAAUUAGCGGAUGACUUGUGGCUGGGGGUGAAAGGCCAAUCAAACCGGGAGAUAGCUGGUUCUCCCCGAAAUCUAUUUAGGUAGAGCCUUGAGCGGACACCUUCGGGGGUAGAGCACUGUUUCGGCUAGGGGUCCAUCCCGGAUUACCAACCCGAUGCAAACUGCGAAUACCGAAGAGUGAUACUCAGGAGACACACGGCGGGUGCUAACGUUCGUCGUGGAGAGGGAAACAACCCAGACCGCCAGCUAAGGUCCCAAAGUCUAUAUUAAGUGGGAAACGAAGUGGGAAGGCUUAGACAGCUAGGAUGUUGGCUUAGAAGCAGCCAUCAUUUAAAGAAAGCGUAAUAGCUCACUAGUCGAGUCGGCCUGCGCGGAAGAUGUAACGGGGCUCAAAUAUAGCACCGAAGCUGCGGCAUCAGAAUUUAUUCUGUUGGGUAGGGGAGCGUUGUGUAAGCGGAAGAAGGUGGCUCGAGAGGGUUGCUGGACGUAUCACAAGUGCGAAUGCUGACAUAAGUAACGAUAAAACGAGUGAAAAACUCGUUCGCCGGAAGACCAAGGGUUCCUGUCCAACGUUAAUCGGGGCAGGGUGAGUCGGCCCCUAAGGCGAGGCUGAAAAGCGUAGUCGAUGGGAAACGGGUUAAUAUUCCCGUACUUGGUAAAGCUGCGAUGUGGGGACGGAGAAGGUUAGGUAAGCGGACUGUUGGAAAUGUCCGUUUAAGUUGGUAGUUGGGAGCGGUAGGCAAAUCCGCUGCUCCAUUCAACAACGAGAGAUGAUGACGAGUUCCUAAGGGAAUGAAGUUACCGAUACCCGGCUUCCAGGAAAAGCCACUAAGCGAAAGGCUUUAUUAAACCGUACUGAAAACCGACACAGGUGGUCAGGUAGAGAAUACUCAGGCGCUUGAGAGAACUCGGGUGAAGGAACUAGGCAAAAUAGCACCGUAACUUCGGGAGAAGGUGCGCUUACAGUAAUUGUAGUCCCUCGCGGAUGAAGGUGAAGUAAGUCGAAGAUACCAGCUGGCUGCAACUGUUUAUUAAAAACACAGCACUCUGCAAACACGAAAGUGGACGUAUAGGGUGUGAUGCCUGCCCGGUGCUGGAAGGUUAAUUGAUGGUGUUAUCGAAAGAGAAGCUCCUGAUCGAAGCCCCAGUAAACGGCGGCCGUAACUAUAACGGUCCUAAGGUAGCGAAAUUCCUUGUCGGGUAAGUUCCGACCUGCACGAAUGGCAUAAUGAUGGCCAGGCUGUCUCCACCCGAGACUCAGUGAAAUUGAAAUCGCCGUGAAGAUGCGGUGUACCCGCGGCUAGACGGAAAGACCCCGUGAACCUUUACUAUAGCUUGACACUGAACAUUGAAUUUUGAUGUGUAGGAUAGGUGGGAGCCUUUGAAGCAGUGACGCCAGUCAUUGUGGAGGCGACCUUGAAAUACCACCCUUUAACGUUUGAUGUUCUAACGAAGUGCCUGAAACGGGUACUCGGACAGUGUCUGGUGGGUAGUUUGACUGGGGCGGUCUCCUCCCAAAGCGUAACGGAGGAGCACGAAGGUUUGCUAAUGACGGUCGGACAUCGUCAGGUUAGUGCAAUGGUAUAAGCAAGCUUAACUGCGAGACGGACAAGUCGAGCAGGUGCGAAAGCAGGUCAUAGUGAUCCGGUGGUUCUGAAUGGAAGGGCCAUCGCUCAACGGAUAAAAGGUACUCCGGGGAUAACAGGCUGAUACCGCCCAAGAGUUCAUAUCGACGGCGGUGUUUGGCACCUCGAUGUCGGCUCAUCACAUCCUGGGGCUGAAGUAGGUCCCAAGGGUAUGGCUGUUCGCCAUUUAAAGUGGUACGCGAGCUGGGUUUAGAACGUCGUGAGACAGUUCGGUCCCUAUCUGCCGUGGGCGUUGGAUGAUUGAUUGGGGCUGCUCCUAGUACGAGAGGACCGGAGUGGACGCAUCACUGGUGUUCCAGUUGUCUCGCCAGAGGCAUUGCUGGGUAGCUAAAUGCGGAAGAGAUAAGUGCUGAAAGCAUCUAAGCACGAAACUUGCCAAGAGAUGAGUCAUCCCUGACUUUAAGUCAGUAAGGGUUGUUUAAGACUAAGACGUAGAUAGGUUGGGUGUGUAAGUGUAGUGAUACAUUGAGCUAACCAAUACUAAUUGCCCGAGAGGCUUAACCAU